rnacentral:rRNA from 1 species
UUGGGCGUAAAGCGCGCGCAGGUGGUUUCUUAAGUCUGAUGUGAAAGCCCACGGCUCAACCGUGGAGGGUCAUUGGAAACUGGGAGACUUGAGUGCAGAAGAGGAAAGUGGAAUUCCAUGUGUAGCGGUGAAAUGCGUAGAGAUAUGGAGGAACACCAGUGGCGAAGGCGACUUUCUGGUCUGUAACUGACACUGAGGCGCGAAAGCGUGGGGA